CAGGUGGGGCCGCAUCAGCCUUCGUCUUGGGUCCUGCCGUUCCUCCCCAAUCGCCCGCCUCGACGUGUAGAGGGGUCGAAGCUGUGGGGGACGCAACAUUGGCGGCGGGCUUUCGCUGGAGGAGCGCGUCCUGGAGGAGGGUGGCGGCGUUCCAGCGAGAGGCCCUGGGUUGGGAGGAGAGGACGCGGGAGGAGGACGAGAAGGGGUGAGGGCGCUCGACCCCGCCGCCCAGCAACGCCGACGGCCAACAUCUACAGCGACGCCGCUAGGGUUGGGCGACACCUCCAUCGGAGAUCCCUAUCGAAGCUUGCACAGGCUCCGUGUAGCCGCCGCCAGCGCCUCCUCGUUGCUGUGGGCAAGCCUGGUCUCCACCAGCAGCGCCCCCUGGCGCUCGCACGGGAACCGGCUGGCACGUCCGUCUUCACCAGGCCAAGAAAGAUUAGGGUUUGGGUGUCCAGGAGAUUCACCGACAGCAGCACCAGCCAUCAUUGUUUUUUAUGGACUCCAUGGCUGUUGUAGGAAUGGAGCAAAAGGGUGAUUUUUUUGGAGGGUCUGAUCGUUGUUGUUCUGCUUGAUUACCACAACAAUAGGGUUGCUCCCUCCUGCAAAGCCAUAUAAUAAAAGGUGAAGAGCGGCGGUAGGGAACCACGCCUACGAGCAUGCUCAUGGUGGUACCUAGAUCCCAGCAAUGCAUGGUUACGGAUGUCCUCAGCCAGAGCUAGGCUUCCUUGUCGAUGACUUGCGAUCUACAGCAUCUGUGCAGGAUUGUUGCUUGGUUGGAUAUAGAAACAAAUGAAGAUAUGGAAAGGAUAAUUGUGAGGAUAUGAGGCUUCAAGAAAUAACCGUCAAAUUAAGUCUGAAACUUUUGUCUACAUCCCCAACUUAGUGUCAUCUGUUUAAAAAUUCUACAAGUUUGGUGAUGAAUUUUAUCUCAUUUGAUAGUACUAGCUGCAUCAAUCACUGGCCUCUUCAUUCCCCCUGUUUCCUUUGGAUUCUAAUCGUCUUGUCCAUGUAGGAUUCUUGAGGGGAACAGUUCAUCACGGGGCGCUAU